rnacentral:rRNA from 1 species
ACAGAGGGUGCAAGCGUUGUUCGGAAUCAUUGGGCGUAAAGGGCGCGUAGGCGGUUUUGUAAGUCGGAUGUGAAAGCCCAGGGCUUAACCUUGGAAGUGCAUUCGAAACUGCAUAACUGGAGUCUCGGAGAGGGUGGUGGAAUUCCCAGUGUAGAGGUGAAAUUCGUAGAUAUUGGGAGGAACACCAGUGGCGAAGGCGAUCACCUGGACGAAGACUGACGCUGAGGCGCGAGAGCGUGGGGAGCAAACAGGA